UGCUUCUUUGCUGACGAGUGGCGGACGGGUGAGUAAUGUCUGGGAAACUGCCUGAUGGAGGGGGAUAACUACUGGAAACGGUAGCUAAUACCGCAUAACGUCGCAAGACCAAAAAGGGGGACCUUCGGGCCUCUUGCCAUCGGAUGUGCCCAGAUGGGAUUAGCUAGUAGGUGGGGUAACGGCUCACCUAGGCGACGAUCCCUAGCUGGUCUGAGAGGAUGACCAGCCACACUGGAACUGAGACACGGUCCAGACUCCUACGGGAGGCAGCAGUGGGGAAUAUUGCACAAUGGGCGCAAGCCUGAUGCAGCCAUGCCGCGUGUAUGAAGAAGGCCUUCGGGUUGUAAAGUACUUUCAGCGGGGAGGAAGGGAGUAAAGUUAAUACCUUUGCUCAUUGACGUUACCCGCAGAAGAAGCACCGGCUAACUCCGUGCCAGCAGCCGCGGUAAUACGGAGGGUGCAAGCGUUAAUCGGAAUUACUGGGCGUAAAGCGCACGCAGGCGGUUUGUUAAGUCAGAUGUGAAAUCCCCGGGCUCAACCUGGGAACUGCAUCUGAUACUGGCAAGCUUGAGUCUCGUAGAGGGGGGUAGAAUUCCAGGUGUAGCGGUGAAAUGCGUAGAGAUCUGGAGGAAUA
rnacentral:rRNA from 1 species